UACGGAGGGGGCUAGCGUUGUUCGGAAUUACUGGGCGUAAAGGGCGCGUAGGCGGUCAGCACAAGUCAGUUGUGAAAUCUCCGGGCUUAACUCGGAAAGGUCAACUGAUACUGUGCGACUAGAGUGCAGAAGGGGCAACUGGAAUUCUCGGUGUAGCGGUGAAAUGCGUAGAUAUCGAGAGGAACACCUGCGGCGAAGGCGGGUUGCUGGGCUGACACUGACGCUGAUGCGCGAAAGCCAGGGGAGCGAACGGG
rnacentral:rRNA from 1 species